rnacentral:rRNA from 1 species
UUGAACGCUGGCGGCAGGCCUAACACAUGCAAGUCGCACGGUAACAGGAAGCAGCUUGCUGCUUCGCUGACGAGUGGCGGCCGGGUGAGUAAUGUCUGGGAAACUGCCUGAUGGAGGGGGAUAACUACUGGAAACGGUAGCUAAUACCGCAUAACGUCGCAAGACCAAAGAGGGGGACCUUAGGGCCUCUUGCCAUCGGAUGUGCCCAGAUGGGAUUAGCUAGUAGGUGGGGUAACGGCUCACCUAGGCGACGAUCCCUAGCUGGUCUGAGAGGAUGACCAGCCACACUGGAACCGAGACACGGUCCAGACUCCUACGGGAGGCAGCAGUGGGGAAUAUUGCACAAAGGGCGCAAGCCUGAUGCAGCCAUGCCGCGUGUAUGAAGAAGGCCUUCGGGUUGUAAAGUACUUUCAGCGGGGAGGAAGGGAGUAAAGUUAAUACCUUUGCUCAUUGACGUUACCCGCAGAAGAAGCACCGGCUAACUCCGUG